rnacentral:rRNA from 1 species
GUGCCAGGAGCCGCGGUAAUACCGGCAGCCCGAGUGAUGGCCGAUCUUAUUGGGCCUAAAGCGUCCGUAGCUGGCUGCGCAAGUCCGUCGGGAAAUCCACUCGCCCAACGAGUGGGCGUCCGACGGAAACUGCACAGCUUGGGACCGGAAGGCUCGAAGGGUACGUUCGGGGUAGGAGUGAAAUCCCAUAAUCCCGCACGGACCACCGAUGGCGAAAGCACUUCGAGAAAACGGAUCCGACAGUGAGGGACGAAAGCUAAGAUCGCGAACCGGAUUAGAAACCCCGGUAGUCC